rnacentral:misc_RNA from 1 species
GAAAUGCGAUAAGUAAUGUGAAUUGCAGAAUUCAGUGAAUCAUCGAAUCUUUGAACGCACCUUGCGCCCUUUGGUAAUCCGAGGGGCAUGCCUGUUUGAGUGUCUUGAAGCUCUCAAAUGUUUAUUUACUUAAACAUUUGGAUUUGGGUGUCUUUUGCCGGUCUUGUAUCGGCUCACCCUAAAUGCAUUAGCUGGCUUUUGGGUCCGCGAACUCGGUGUGAUAAUUGUCACUCGCUGAGAUUUCGUAACCUUAAGGAAGCUGCUUCCAGUCGUCUUAGGACAAUACAUCUAAGUGUUUGACCUCAAAUCAGGUAGGACUACCCGCUGAACUUAA